AGAUAUUGUGCAGUGCAAAUCACAAAUAACCAGUCAUAUAUGAUGAUCGACCGUUCCUAGAGCAAAUGGCAAAGAACUUGGUGGUUCGUACCCGAGACGCAAGUUCGAAUCCUAAUUAAGUCACAUUUGCAGCUAAGUUUAUUUCUAAAUGAAAUAAACGAAGCGGGUAGCGUGCUACUUAUUUCUCAAAAAAAAAAAAAAAAAUCAGUCAUAUAU
rnacentral:lncRNA from 1 species